rnacentral:rRNA from 1 species
AGAGUGAACGCUGGCGGUAGGCCUAACACAUGCAAGUCGAACGGCAGCACAGUAGGAGCUUGCUCUUACGGGUGGCGAGUGGCGGACGGGUGAGGAAUACAUCGGAAUCUACCUUUUGGUGGGGGAUAACGUAGGGAAACUUACGCUAAUACCGCAUACGCCCUUCGGGGGAAAGCCGGGGACCAGCAAUGGCCUGGCGCUGAUAGAUGAGCCGAUGUCGGAUUAGCUAGUUGGUGAGGUAAUGGCUCACCAAGGCGACGAUCCGUAGCUGGUCUGAGAGGAUGAUCAGCCACACUGGAACUGAGACACGGUCAGACCUCCGUAGGGAGGCAGCAGGUGGGAAUGUCGGACAAGUGGGACGCGAAGCCCGUAGACUCCAGCC